rnacentral:rRNA from 1 species
GGGGAUUACGAGCAAUGCUUAAAACCCAAAGGAUUUGACGGUGUCCCACCCCACUAGAGGAGCCUGUUCUAUAAUCGAUGAUCCCCGCUUCACCCGACCACUCCUCGCUUAUCAGUCUGUAUACCUCCGUCGAAAGCUUACCAUGUGAACGCCCACAGUAAGCCCAAUGAUUAUACGUCAACACGUCAGGUCAAGGUGCAGCUCAAGGAAUGGGAAGUAAUGGGCUACAAUUUCUAAUUUAGAACAAACGAAAGACUAUGUGAAACCCUAGUCAUGAAGGUGGAUUUAGUAGUAAAAGGGAAAUAGAGUGUUCCUUUUAACCCGGCUCUGGGACGCGUACACACCGCCCGUCACCCUCUUCAAUAGUUUUUCUCAUGUCCUUAACCCCCGCGCACAUUUUAGAAGAGGCAAGUCGUAACAUGGUAAGUGUACUGGAAAGUGCACUUGGUAUACUA